rnacentral:rRNA from 1 species
AACGAACGCUGGCGGCAUGCCUAACACAUGCAAGUCGAACGAGACCGUCGGGUCUAGUUGCGCACGUGUGCGUAACGCGGGGUAACCUGCCCUUAGGUUCGGAAUAACUCCCCGAAAGGGGUCCUAAUACCGGAUAAUGUCUUCGGACCUAAGAUUUAUCGCUUCUGGGUGGGCGCGCGUUGGAUUAGCCAGUUGGUAGGGUAAAAGCCUGCCAAGGAGACGAUGCAGGGCUGGUGUGUGAGGAUGAUCGGCCACACUGGGGCUGAGACACGGCCCAGACUCGUACGCGAGGGAGCAGUGGGGAAUAUUGGAGGAUGGGCGCAAGUCUGGUCCAGCAAUGCCGCGUGAGUGAUGAAGGCGUUAGGGUUGUAAAGCUCUUUUAGACGGGAUGAUAAUGACAGUACCGGGAGAAUAAGCACCGGCUAACUACGUG